AUUAAUAAAAGAAUAUUAAUUAGAGAUAACUAUUAGAGACUAGUUGGAAAUAAGUGGAAGGGCGAGAUAGUAAUUAAACAUGAAAUAGGUUCUUGAGUAAUUCACACCAUUCAUUUCUUUCAUUCUAUGAAGUCAGAAAGAAAACCACAAGAGAUGUGGCUCUCGUCUCUCUCACGCCUAAGAACACCACCAUCUCCAGUCUACUCAUGAAACCCAAUCCCUCAUUUUUUCUCCUCUCUGUUCGCCAUUCCUUCCUCGUUCAUUCAAACAAAACCAUCCCUUUCCAUUAAUUGGACACAUUCAAGCUUGCAUACCACAACUUCAACCCUUUAUGAGAAAUUGGGAUUUUACUAUCUUGAAUUGGAUUUUGGUAACUUUGCAUGUGAGGAAUUCUGCCAUGAAUUAAGUGAUUGGGUGGCCAGGAAGAAAUUUAAGGUAAUAAUCAUCAAGCUCUCAUCUAUUCCUUUGAUGUUUUGUUUAGGUAUGUUAUGAAAACUCACUAAUUUAUAUUUUGGAGCACUUGCAUGUGAAUUUCUUGUGGUCAAGGAAUCAUGGGUUGUGAUUGGAGCUGUAAUCUUGUGUUUAAAAUAUGCUACAGGUUGGAUUUUGAAGAAACAGAGGAGUUAGAAUAAAUAAAAGAAAAGAAGGAAUUGGAUUGGUAAUGUAAGAAGAACUUUCUGCACUUUUGAGUCUGGACCUGUCUUCAGUAAUCGAGUCAUAGCUGACAAACCGUAAAUCCAUUUUGAAUAAGACUUACAUGUCUGGAAAGCCGACGAAAUUACCGUCGUCUCGGUGCAAACCACGUAUAAUUUGGAUCAAUAUUGAGGGCUGGGGACGCCUUUGAAGUUGGAGCUCUGAUGCAGAAUUAUGUAGAAAAUUCUGAUUAUGGGUUUAUAGCAUUUCACUUGCAAAUUAUGCGUUUCGGCGAGCUCUGGAAGUGUCGCUGGUAUUGUUCAAGCUUCUUUUCAGAUAAGCAGGUUGAUCGCGGUGUCGUGGUCAGCAAGCAUGAAGACCCAGAUACGUGGAGUACGAUUUGGAGCUGACGUUAUGUUUAUCUUAUAUCUUGUAUAAGAUUCAGUUUAUUUAUGUUUAGUUGUUGGCUCAAAUUUGUAUUCACUUCUUGGAAUUUGUAAUCCUAUUCAUGUGUUUGAUCUUUAUGUAAUGAAAAUUUAAUGUUUUCCGAUUCAGUUAUGUACACUCUUGUCGAUAUUCUAGAUAAAUUGACAUGAGUUGUUAUAAUUGGUAUCAGAGCAGGUCGAUUCAGUAUCGGACCUUGCCGUGGAUCAUUAAAAUUCAAUCCUAAGUAGUACGGAUCCUUUGGAGUCUGAACUGUUUACGCUGAAAUCAUCGCGUGCUGAGCCUGAUCAACUUAGUAUCGUGUAUGGUAAGCAGGGUAUUACUAUUGAGAACCGAAGUGGACCAAGGAGGUCGAGUAGUAAGAACGCAGUAGGAGCGCGAACUCAGAAGGAAGUAUGAACAAAGAUCGUUAGAAGCCGAUAUUUUAACUGCAACAGUCGACGUCACAAGAGUAAGUUGGGUAACGCAAACAAGCGACACGUAGAAUUGGGAAUAAUACGUGGCGUAGUGUCAGUAGUAAGAGGCAUAUCGGGAAAUGCACGAAUCAGAUGUACUCAAUUGACGGUGAUGUGCGUAAGAAUUCAGAGGACACUAGGGAACAGGAAAACCUCGGUAUCAGCAUGAGCGUUGACCGGAGUAGGAUGCAUGGACAAUUGUAUUAAGUCUAAUGAAGUUAUGAGAACGGAGCGUAGUGUAGAUUGAAGUGUUAUACGCCAGUAAUAACCAACCGACACGGACGCGUUGUGUGAACCUAGAAGUAAUCACCCAGUUUUGUGAACCUAAUUACGAGAAGCACGUUAAUUCAAAUAAGACUUAACUGAAGUCAGUGAACCGAAACUUUUCCCCAAAUCUGUUUGGCCUUCAUUUCAGCCUAGUAGUUGUCCCUAGCGACGUAAGUCAAUUAGCUACACUAUAAGAGAAAGACAAACUAGACUUCACACAUUUCUUUAAAUCCUAAUGUCAACCUAUUGUACCGUUCUUGUAGGAUGAAAACACUAAACGUUCCCAGCAAGAUGAAUUCAGCCACUCAGUUCGUAACUAGUGUAUUCAAGCCAAACUAGUAGCAGUUAAGUCUUGUUUAGAGUAACGAUUAGAGUUUAAUUCUAAUGCUAUCAGUCACCUAAGAAGACAUAUUAAAUGUCAUUACCAUUUGCUUCAGGAACAAGUAACGCAAUUCGGUACUACCUUCAGUAAGUUGCCAAAUAAUUUCCCGUAUUCGAACCUAUCAGCCAAUAACCCAAAGGACUCAAUUAAACCGUUUUCAGAGUGUUGUCAGUUAAAUUCAGCUAAUUUCAUCAAAUCAAUGUGAUGCUUGAUUCAUAAUCAGUAAGCCUUAUUAUGUUAUGAACAUUACGGUUUCCGAGCCUAUCUAAUGUUGAAAACUUUCUAAAUUCCUUAAUAUCAGCGAAUUGGAUUCAUAGUUAGAGUGUUACCUUAUGUAACUCUGACGAAAUGUCUUCAACUUUGUAACUUUGUUAUCAGUAAUCCAUUUGGGCCUAGGUAAGUUUGAAUUUCUGAUUAAGAGUAAUAAGUUGUGAUCCUUUAAGAACUAUCAGCUAUUUAUGCCGAUCUUCAAAACGUAUCAUUAUGUUUCCCAUCAAGAGAUUCUCCGAUCUUUCGUUUCAUUACUGAUGAUCAGUUCAGAACCAAAGAAGUCUAAGUUAACCAUUAAGGGUCAUGAGUAAUUUCAGUUUAAAUUCUCACGUGUCUUGUUAACCUGUUAAACAACAUCGUAAGGUACCUCGAACGUUGGAAACGUUAAUGCAAUCAAUUCAGUUCACCUUUCUUUAUGAGAUCUUACCAACUCAUUUCGAAUAAAAUUCCAAAACUAUCCAGAGAUAAUAAAUGUAGUAUCAAGAUUAGUGCUAAUGGUGUCAGCCUUUCAAUUCUAUUCAUGUUAACCAAUGUAAGCCUGUAAAUGUUAGCCAAUAAAUAUGAGUAUUCCUUUGGAAACCAUCGUACAUCUUUGUGACCGAUUAAUUACCAUCAUAAAGCAACCCGGAGUUAGGCAACUUAAUUAGUAGUAGGAUCACCAUCAGUAAACCAAGACAAUUGUGUUUGACCUUUCCUUUGCAAUCAAUUUGUUUCAGCCAACUCUCUAUUAUAUGACCGCAUCAGACAAUUCUGCCAAACCCCAAACCUUACCUUAAUGGAGUUAAUGACUAGUAUCAGAAGGUAUAGUAUUAAGGGAUGCCAAUAGGAUGAGCAAAAUCAUAAACUAUUUGACAAGAUUUUUUUUUUUUUUUGACUAUUUGACAAGAAUUUUUUUGGAUUAGUCGGUAUGAAUAUUCAAAGCUUGUACCCUUAAGAUAACCUCUUCACAUCAACCAGUGUCUCAUGUUUUUGUGUGUACCCUAACCAGGCUAGAUAUCGACCUAAUGAAGUUUGUUGAAUAAUAAAGUAAUUGUCGGGAACAAUAAAGGAAGUGAUAAGUAAAAAGAAACCAACUUGCGAAGAAUGUCACUGAUUGAAGUAAGGGUCGUUGCUGGACCAACACAGUCAUCGCAAUCAAACUCAAAAAUGAGGAGAGUAUGAGUAUGAAAUAACUGUAAGAGAUAAGAAAUAAGGAGUUGCAGAUAUGUUAGAUGGUAGUAAAGUAUUAUAUAUAUAGUGGUGCGUCUAACGUCACGAAAUGAUGUGAGAUUUAUUUUGUCAUGCCAUAUGGUAGAAGAAGUAAUAAAAAUAUGAGAAAACGUCGGAUAAGAUGAAACCAAAUGUGAUAGUGUUUGGGAAGUUGUAAACUAAGGUCGUAAUGACGCAAGAUGACAAUAUGUAAUAGAGAUCAGAGUGCGCAGCAAGUAUUGGUUGAUAAUGUAGUCAGCAGGUUGGUCUUUAGGCUAAAACCCUUUGAGAAGAGGAAAGUUUUAUUCUAAGGAAAUUGAUGUGAAUGAACGUAAAACGAUUGACGAAUGUGAGACGAGUAAAUUAUGCAUACGUUCACACUUAAAAGUUGUAUUGUUGGUAAUGGAGUACCCGUGAGAACAAAGAUUGUGAAAGGAAAGGGGUUCAACGAAGAAAGUUUGACGUGGUGAACCAAUAAGAUUAGAUAUGCUCGGUGUUGAAUUGAAGGGUGCAGGAAAUAGGAAUAUUGCGCCAUGAGCAGUUGUAUCGAUGAAAAUAACAAAAAGAGCUAAUAUAAGAUUAGCGCGCACCUAAAAGUUGUAUUAUGGGCCGAGAUUAUGAGUUAGAUGUUAUGAAAUGAACGAGUAGGAUUUUCAAAAGUAACAUAAGCAAGUGCUAACGCAGUGAAGAGUGAUGAUUAGUAACCUAUUGAACUAGCAAUCAUGGUCGGUUAAAAGAUGAAGUCUAAAAUCGGAUUAAGAAUAUAGAUAAUGUACUUGGUGAUGAAUGAAGAAGUUCUUGAAUUUCGCGGACGAAAUUCUUUUAAGGGGGAUAGAUUGUAAUAUCCCAACUUUAAUUAAUAAAAGAAUAUUAAUUAGAGAUAACUAUUAGAGACUAGUUGGAAAUAAGUGGAAGGGCGAGAUAGUAAUUAAACAUGAAAUAGGUUCUUGAGUAAUUCACACCAUUCAUUUCUUUCAUUCUAUGAAGUCAGAAAGAAAACCACAAGAGAUGUGGCUCUCGUCUCUCUCACGCCUAAGAACACCACCAUCUCCAGUCUACUCAUGAAACCCAAUCCCUCAUUUUUUCUCCUCUCUGUUCGCCAUUCCUUCCUCGUUCAUUCAAACAAAACCAUCCCUUUCCAUUAAUUGGACACAUUCAAGCUUGCAUACCACAACUUCAACCCUUUAUGAGAAAUUGGGAUUUUACUAUCUUGAAUUGGAUUUUGGUAACUUUGCAUGUGAGGAAUUCUGCCAUGAAUUAAGUGAUUGGGUGGCCAGGAAGAAAUUUAAGGUAAUAAUCAUCAAGCUCUCAUCUAUUCCUUUGAUGUUUUGUUUAGGUAUGUUAUGAAAACUCACUAAUUUAUAUUUUGGAGCACUUGCAUGUGAAUUUCUUGUGGUCAAGGAAUCAUGGGUUGUGAUUGGAGCUGUAAUCUUGUGUUUAAAAUAUGCUACAGGUUGGAUUUUGAAGAAACAGAGGAGUUAGAAUAAAUAAAAGAAAAGAAGGAAUUGGAUUGGUAAUGUAAGAAGAACUUUCUGCACUUUUGAGUCUGGACCUGUCUUCAGUAAUCGAGUCAUAGCUGACAAACCGUAAAUCCAUUUUGAAUAAGACUUACAUGUCUGGAAAGCCGACGAAAUUACCGUCGUCUCGGUGCAAACCACGUAUAAUUUGGAUCAAUAUUGAGGGCUGGGGACGCCUUUGAAGUUGGAGCUCUGAUGCAGAAUUAUGUAGAAAAUUCUGAUUAUGGGUUUAUAGCAUUUCACUUGCAAAUUAUGCUUUUCGGCGAGCUCUGGAAGUGUCGCUGGUAUUGUUCAAGCUUCUUUUCAGAUAAGCAGGUUGAUCGCGGUGUCGUGGUCAGCAAGCAUGAAGACCCAGAUACGUGGAGUACGAUUUGGAGCUAACGUUAUGUUUAUCUUAUAUCUUGUAUAAGAUUCAGUUUAUUUAUGUUUAGUUGUUGGCUCAAAUUUGUAUUCACUUCUUGGAUUUUGUAAUCCUAUUCAUGUGUUUGAUCUUUAUGUAAUGAAAAUUUAAUGUUUUCCGAUUCA